rnacentral:lncRNA from 1 species
UUGAGAUCGGCCGACGUUACCAUUAACGCAAACCAUUGACGAUUUAUUUAUUUAUUUUUUUUAGUGAAAAGAAAACCAAACGAAAUCCGGAAAGAAACGAAAAUCUGGCAAAAGGUUUGUCUCUGAUACCACAUGUUAGAAACUUUAUGAGAAACUAAGAUCGUACCUUCUGCCAUGAUUUUGAUUUUUGUACUCGAUUUGUUGGCGGCGAUCCUUACUCGUGGUUCGUCGUCGUUCGUGAUCUGCAAGAAGACGGGAUGUUUUGAGUCUAAUUCCCUUAUCCCCGGAGAUGGAGCUGUCAUAGACUAUUGGAUUAGGGUUAGACCGGGACUCCCGUAUGUUACAUAUUUAUAUAUAACUUAAUGUAAGGAUGUUAAAUCACGUCCGUCCAUCAAGGACGUGUUGUCACGCCCCGGGGUCCCAUUUCAGGUUAAAAUACAGCGGAAAUUUUUUUUUUUUUUUGAAAACCUAACCCCAUGGAAUGCCAGAUCCGCCACAAAUACAGGAGAUCCACUGUUCACACGGACAGAGUCUCCCCUGUAUUUGCACGGCGUCACACAAGUACAAAAAUACAAAUAGAAUACAACCACAACUAAAUGAAUAUAAAGAUAACUAUACAUUCAUACAUUCACCAUUCACAUCACAGAUUUACAUUCAAUAUUUAAACAUAAUUCCACAGAAAAUCUUUUGAAAACUGUUCCCUACACGGGAACUUUUAUCUUUUAAAAACGCUACCACGAGGGGUAGAAAACCUUUUAUUUACGAAAAUCCAGAAAUCCUUGAAUAUUUUAACAUAAUGAAAUACUGAACCAUAUAGACCGACUAAGCUAUAUAUCACCAGAAAUAAUAG